ACCCUAAUUCCUAAAAUUAGCUCAGAACCCUAAUUUCCCCAAUUCCUAAACCUAACCACCGCAGCCUCACCCUCUUUCAACGUACAAACGCAUACACACUGAAGAAAUGGGGAAACAGAGAGAAAGAUCUGAGAAAGAGAGGGAAGCGAAGGGAGACAGCGCUGGCUGGGCUUCGCUGCCGUCGCCGUCGAGCUGAGGGAAAGAAAGGGAGCUUCACCGCGCCGUCAUCCAACCGGUCGAGUCUGCUGCCUCACCGCCGCCUCCUUCGUCGCGCGCUACUGCCGGCCUGGAAUCGCCGCCACUGCACCUUGCCCGCUUGUCGCCGCCGUUCCGUGGAGUCCGCCCUGGUGCUGGUUGAACAGGGAUGAGGGAGAGGCGUCGAGAGAGAGAUGCAAUGGAGGUCAGAGGGAAGAGCUGCCAUCACCGCCGUCCCGUCUAUGAAGCCUGAGCUCGCGUUGCCGUCCUGAGCUUCGGCGCCGCCGUGGAGGAGAGUGGAGUAGUCACCGUCGUUGGAGAGAAAGGAGACGCACAGGGGAGGAACCGUUCCUCUGCCGCCGCUAUCGCCGGAAUUCCUGGUCGCCGUCGUCGUUCAUGGUGAGUCAGUUAAGUCAUAGCCAUGAGAACCACUACCUCUGAACCCCAGUUGCUCUGUUGCAAUCCUGUAUUUUCUUCUGAUAUUCUCGACUCUGUUCUGUUUCUCUUUUGUUUUGUCGUUCUUACUUCGUUGGUGUCCCUGCUGUUCUAACCGAUUGGAUUGGUGCUGCUGCUGCUAAGACGUAUGCCCUGCUCUCUGGUUUCUGUUUUUCUGAGUACCAGAGCUGCUGCUCCAUUCCUGUAUUUCUUUUGGUAAGAUAGGUUUUGUUCUACAAUCAAUAUUCUGAUUACUGCUCCUUUGAUGAUCUGUUCUGUUUUACCCUUGCAUUUGCUUCAGCCUCUAUUAAAUUCCCUUCCAAAAUUGUUGAUGCUGCUAAGUAAGUUCGGAGCUGCUGUGUUGUUGCCGGAGGAAGGGAACUCAUCAGAAAAAUGUUAUUGAGGCUGAUGUUUGGUUUGAUUGCGUAGUUAACGCGACAUUGAGGUUAUAAACCUUGUGUGCACAAUGCUUACUCAUGACAACAACGUCCCAAAAUGGUUUCUUCCAACCCUCCUUUUGCGGUAUUAUUUUUAUUUUUGGACAAAAAAUGUUCACUUUUAAAUUUCAUUUUUGAAUCCUUCUUUCACUAACCAACCUCAUAUGCAUCCCAUGUUACAGCAAGGGUUCUUAAUUAUUCUAGUGAACCAUAAGAUCGACGUAUUUGAGUAUAUUUGUGCAAGGUUCUUGGGUUUCAUUCAUGACUUAUGGAUGGUGAAACCUAUCCCUUUAUCUUUUAAUGAUGAUAAAAAUUAUUAACAACAAUUUUAACAUCCACUGUUUUGACUAAAUCUUCAUUGGUUUUGUGGCUGUCUCAGAUAUGUGUCCCCAUGUAUAGAGAGCAUCACUGGUACUUGAUGGUUGUGAAAAUUUGGUUAACUACAAGCUCUUGAUACUUGGAUUCCAUAAAAACCAAUGAUGAACAUGAUGUUAGAAUAUCAUAGAUGAAAUAUGUGGUUAAGGUCACGACAUUUUCUUUUAUAUGCCCCUUCUUUAUAACAUUGUGGGUUUUAAAGAUUUUAGACUCAUACAUUUAGUUGACACAUAAAGCUUAUGUUUUCAUCCCUUUCUGUGGUGGAAGGAAUUUUUAAUUGAGACCAUGUUGGAUGACAAAAGAUUCUAGCGAAACGUUGAUCAUUACAAGCCACAUCCUUCAACUUAAAAUGUUGAAGAGCUCACCAUUGUCCAGUAAGGCAAACUCUCGAAUGAUUGUGGUCUUUGGGGUGUCAAUAGAUGAUGCAAAAUUAAGUUUGCGAAAAUAUUGCUUUCGAGUUAAGGGCAGUAAGAUAUUAGGACAAAGAGAUACAAAUGUUUGCUAGAAACACUAAGAAAAGGAGGAAAAGAAUAGUCGACAGCCAUUGUCCAAACCAAAUAUGAGGACCAUUAUCCGAUCCUGAAGAACUGAAUAAUGUUAUUUUGCUUUUAUGUGAUUAAGUUGAUAGUUAGGAGAUUAAGUAUACUCAAUCUAUGUUGUGAUUAAGUUGAUAGUUAGGGGCCUAAAUAUGUCCAAUCUAUGUUGGUGUUCUAAUGCUUAUUUUCGGGGUGUUAUCUUAUUUUGUGGGUUGUAUGAGUGUCCUCUGAAACAUUUUGGUGGUAUGAUGGUUGGCAUUAGCUUAUUUUGUGGGUUGCAUGCAUGCGUCUCAUGUGGAUACCAAACUAAGCUCCUAUUUGGUAGAUAAAAAAUGCUCUUCGUAUAUUAAAAUUAGGCAUUAAAAUCAGCCACCAAUAUAUUUAUGUAUAAAUACAUGUGUGAUUUAAUUUAUUUUCAAAGUGUAUUUAUAUUCCGACAUAUAUUUUAUACUGGUGACUGACUUUAGUAGCUAAUUUUAGUGUGCACGUAACAUAGUACUUGUGCCAUUUUGUUGUAAACUAUUUAACAUAGUACUUGUGCCAUUUUAUUUACACAUUAUUCAAAAAUCUUGUUGGUUACCUAUACUUUUCCUUAUGUAAAUAUAUUGCAGUUACAUUUGGUC